rnacentral:rRNA from 1 species
CCUACGGGAGGCAGCAGUGGGGAAUCUUGCGCAAUGGGCGAAAGCCUGACGCAGCAACGCCGCGUGCGGGAAGAAGGCCUUAGGGUUGUAAACCGCUUUCAGUAGGAACGAAAAUGACGGUACCUGCAGAAGAAGGUGCGGCCAACUACGUGCCAGCAGCCGCGGUGACACGUAGGCACCAAGCGUUGUCCGGAUUUAUUGGGCGUAAAGAGCUCGUAGGCGGUUCAGUAAGUCGGGUGUGAAAACUCUGGGCUUAACCCAGAGCCGCCACUCGAUACUGCUGUGACUUGAGUUCGGUAGGGGAGCAGGGAAUUCCUAGUGUAGCGGUGAAAUGCGCAGAUAUUAGGAGGAACACCGGUGGCGAAGGCGCUGCUCUGGGCCGAUACUGACGCUGAGGAGCGAAAGCGUGGGUAGCAAACAGGAUUAGAUACCCUGGUAGUCCACGCCGUAAACCGUUGGGCACUAGGUGUGGGUUCCAACCACGGAAUCCGCGCCGUCGCUAACGCAUAGUGCCGCCGUCGGAGGUACGGCGGCGACGACGUAAACGUUAAACGUAAGUAGACGGCGUGAGACGNGCCGACGGCGACGACGAGGGAGUAGG